UAAUCAACGUUAAUAAGUCGUCACUUUAAAUUGACUGGUUAGCUGUAGGUUUCGAUAACGUUAGCUAACGACAUUCAAACCUAACGUCGCUCCCAGCUAAGCACUGACGUUAACGUUACAUUUGCUCACUAACCAGUAGCAGCUAGCGUUUUAACUAAUGUUAUACUAUCUGGCUCUUGAUAACCUGUGGAAAGGGACCUGAUGAAAACCUUACUGUUUGGAAACGGACCAUAUGACCAAAGUAUUGUUAAAACACACUACAGAAGUUGAGGAACCAGACCAGACCAGUGUGGUGAUGACCGUGUAUUACAUUAUGUGUGUGCCUGUCUGUGUGCACAUCCUGCCAACCAUACAUCGCUGACAUUAACACUAACAUUAAUUCC